UACAGGGGGUGCAAACGUUGCUCGGAAUCAUUGGGCGUAAAGCGCACGUAGGCGGUUCGUUAUGUCGGAUGUGAAAGCCCUUGGCUUAACCGAGGAAGUGCAUCCGAAACUGGCGAGCUAGAGUACUAAAGAGGAUCGCGGAAUUCCCGGUGUAGAGGUGAAAUUCGUAGAUAUCGGGAGGAACACCAGUGGCGAAGGCGAUCAUCUGGGGUUGUUCUGACACUGAGGAGCGAAAGCUAGGGGAGCAAACGGG
rnacentral:rRNA from 1 species